rnacentral:misc_RNA from 1 species
AGAGAGAGAGAGAGAGAGGAGAGGUAGAGAUUCAAUGCUAACUGUUUAUAAUUUUAAAAUAAAAGAGAACUUCCAGCGAAAUAUAUUUCUGCAAUUUAAAAUGAGUCCUGUAGAUACUAAUGUAAUUUGUUUUACCUAAUAAACCUCCAAAUGUUUGCAAGGCAUUGUUAAGUUGAGUUUGUACUUAAUUUAACAACUUCUCAGGGAGGUACUGUUGAGUUAUGGCUCAUUAAAGACUUAAUGCUCACCAAGGAGCCAGGUAAGGGAAGGUGCUCCGCCAUGAGGGGUAGAAUGCUGGCAUGAUGGUCUUGUGUAUUUUUGUAUUGUUGAGGCUGAUUAUGUAAAUCCUAUUUUAUAUUAGGAAUCCAGGGUGUACAAGGAUUAGAUUAUUAUAAAUAGGGCUGUAAUGUUCUCCUUUCAGUAGUGAAAAAGCAUUAGGCUAAAUGAUGGAUGUAGUCACAAUUGUCGAACCACAUAAAUCUUUGUGUUCGCUUUUCUCUCUAUUAUCUAUCUCUGUAUGUGCAUGUUCAAGGGUAUUUUCGCUAACAGGUACAAGCCUAUAGGUGAUAACACGGAAUGACCCAAAUGGCAUAACAAAAUUGACUGCAGUAGACAUCUGAAAAAGCUUGCUAUCUUUGUGCAAGCAAACUCACCUCAAUUACAUGAAGAAUCGCAAGUCCAUUAAUCCCAAGCAAUAUUGUGACUCAAAUCACUGUGGUUCUUGUUUUGACUGGAUUAGUGACAGAGAAAUGGAGACCACAAAAUAAUACUUCACAUGCCUAAAUUAGAUAACACCUAUGCAUCCCAGUUGGCCUUUAUUUUGUUUUAUUUUAUUUUA